GGCCUUGACAUACUAGAACUUUCCAGAGAUGGAUUGGUGCCUUCGGGAACUUAGAUACAGGUGCUGCAUGGCUGUCGUCAGCUCGUAUCGUGAGAUGUUGGGUUAAGUCCCGCAACGAGCGCAACCCUUUUUCCUUAUUUGCCAGCGGGUCAUGCCGGGAACUUUAAGGAUACUGCCAGUGACAAACUGGAGGAAGGCGGGGACGACGUCAAGUCAUCAUGGCCCUUACGGCCAGGGCUACACACGUGCUACAAUGGUCGGUACAAAGGGUUGCUACCUCGCGAGAGGAUGCUAAUCUCAAAAAGCCGAUCGUAGUCCGGAUCGCAGUCUGCAACUCGACUGCGUGAAGUCGGAAUCGCUAGUAAUCGCGGAUCAGAAUGCCGCGGUGAAUACGUUCCCGGGCCUUGUACACACCGCCCGUCACACCAUGGGAGUUUGUUGCACCAGAAGUAGGUAGUCUAACCGCAAGGAGGACGCUUACCACGGUGUGGCCGAUGACUGGGGUGAAGUCGUAACAAGGUAGGCGUAGAUGA
rnacentral:rRNA from 1 species